AAUGCUGUGCACAGUGCUGCUGUUUCAGUGUGGGGAUGACAGAGCGUCUUUAUCAGCUGUCUUGCAGUCUGAACUCUUUUCAGCAGUGUCUAAGUUGCCAUUCCACUCAACUGUGAUGACUGAACAAGAUCACAGGACCGGAUCCUCACAAGGACCUAUAUGCUGAAGUAUAUGCCCAGUCUUUGUGGACUCUGUGCUGUCCAUAGCAUCUAAAGCGAAAAACGUAGACAUCUGACUCGCCACUCAGGCACUGUCUUGCAGUGAAGGUGGUGACUCUUCAAAGAUCUCUCAAUCACCUAUCUCCUCUUCCGCUUAAAUUUCUGGGCGUGGAUGAAGGCUGAGCUGAAAGUGUUUCUCGUUCUCGGUAAAAUCCCUUCCCGCACACAACGGACAGGAGACGAGAGCGACUUGCCCGAGGUACUGCCAGGGCACCAGAGGCGAAGGAAGGUCAGCCUUCUCUCAGGUGGGCACUUUUCAGAGGUGCACUAUUAGUUUUGCUACCAGCCGCUGGUGACAUGCAAUAUUCAGUGACAAGUGCCAGUCUGGAGGCUUCUCGACUGUGUUGCAGUGGAAUUACUUUGUCACUGUUGUGUUAUUUCUACCAGCCUCCAUGAGGACAGCUUUCUGCUUUUCUGCUGUUAAGGAAACCACACUGCCAGGGAAGAUGUCUCUAUUAAGAUGACAUGUCAUAUGCUG